UCGGCGCUCCCCCGACUGAAUGCGCCGGACGACUUCCGACUGAACAAGUCAGGCAGGACCCGACUGCCGAACCGUAAUCACAGUCGGUCGGAUCCCGACUCAACGGACGGCCGACCGAAGAUCUCGACCAUCAAAGUUCGAUCUGAAAUCGGGACUUACUCUACCUUCGUGGCUCCCGACUUAACAUACGCGCCCGAUGAUCAGCAUUGACUAUCAGAAGCCGAUCUAAAGAUGGGACCUACCUUACCUUCAGGUCGGCACAAGUUGCCAAACGUCCUAACCGACCUAUGGCAGUUAGCGACUUAUUUUAAGUUAGCGACUCACAUGGGCAUGCGACAUUACAGAUACAUUCGACAUUACAAACAAAAGGAGAAAGUGAAAAAGUUUCAUUCAAAACUGAAAGAAAAUUACAAAGUCGGGUCGAAGCCCGAUUACAAGUACUUCAGGAAAAAAGAAAAACAAAAACAGAGGUAGUCGGCAGGGCCCGAUCAUCUGUCUUAGUCGAUUUCCUCGACCGAUGGAGGAUCGGGGAUGACCGGCGUGUCGGCCAUAAGCGGCGCUGGGUCGGCAGC
rnacentral:lncRNA from 1 species